GGAAGGGCUGUAGCUCAGUGACAGAGCAUAUGCUUUGCCUGCAGAAGGUCCCAGGUUCAAUCCCUCAUAUCUCCA